rnacentral:sRNA from 14 species
CUUUGCAAAAAGAGAAAGAAUAAUAAUUGCCAAAAAUAUCAUCAAGAUUCGUAGUUUUACACUGGUAUCAUUACUAAU